AAACGCUUGUGAUAAAGUCCCAUGAAUCCAUCUGGGGAAGCCUGCAAGCACAAAAUGUCUUCCAGGGCAGAUAGUGGGAGGAUUGUUUAGUAGUUGUGGGUUGUUGUUAGGGAGGAACCAUGUAAUUCCCUGGUUUGGAAAUAAUGGGAAGCCCAGAGAAAGAGCCAUCAGGCAGCCUGUAUUUGCGUCCCACAUCUCCUCAUUAAACUUUGAGAUGCCAAAAAGUGUGGCUCAGGGGUCUGUGGCGUAACAUAAAAUGGCUGCCCUGUUUAAAGAAAUGGGAAAAUGAGACAAGAGCACAAAAUGGGCCAGGCGUGCCCACUGUUCAGAACAUCUGGGAGGAGAGGUGUUCAGUCCUGGCGCUGGAUGAAAUAGGGGCAUGUUCCAAGCGUAGGAUGGAACAAGCCAGCACAAACAGGGACUGAGCAGGAAGAGCAAACCACCUCCUGUGUGCCAUCGGCUGAACUGACAGCACAUUGGUGCCCACAGGCAUGCUUGGGAGCUUGCACAUGUGAAUGCGAUCGCUUUAUUCCAUCGCCGCUCUCUGGCCUGCCUUUGUUCUAGACGAGCUGCGGUCCUGUGCAGCUCUUGCAGUUGCUCAGGCAUUCUCCGAGAGGGUUGGACUCAGCCCCUCGCACCAUGCUUGCUGCGCCGAGAUGCGCAGCUGGCUUGGCAGCACCGACCACAGAGCUCGGCUAAGGCCUGCUUACCACUCAGGAAUAGCCUCUUGGCUGUUUGCUCCCAAGGCCGGACUGGCUGCUUCCACAGAGGCACAGAAUAGGGGAAGGUCCCUUUGCUAUUGGCAGAAUUCCCUUCCCAUGGAGACUAACCAAAGUCUGAGGUUGAGCGUCUUCCAGAAAAAAUCAGCAGCAGACAUUUUUAUGUGCUGGGCUUUUAAUGGUAAAAAUGGACAGUACAAAUGAGUGGCAUUAAUCUUUGCGGGUCUGUGGGAGCCUGUGGACCUCCAGAUGUUGCUGAACUCCAUCAGACCCAGCCAGUGUAGUCGGGGCACGUCCAACAGCACUCAAGAGGACACAGCUGUCCUAGCCUUAUGAAAAAAAGGGUGCUCCAGAGCUUGGAAUGGGUUCAAGCUGUAAAGCAAUUCGUUUUGUUAAAAAAGCAGGAGCUUAGAAAAGUGAAAAAUGCUAAAUUAUUGUCUCCAGGUGCAAUUCAUGCUUUUUAUGCCCAUGUAACCAGGAAUGCUAGGCUCUAAAAUCAUAUUUUAUUACAGGGCUCCUGCAUCUAUGGCUACAGAACUGUAACUCCUGGCAGCAUCCCCUUGUCUAAGCUCUAUAAUAUUGCUGCUUUUUAUAUUGUUGAAUGACCAAGGCUUUUAUUUUUAAUUUUUGUUCCUGCCUAUGUCCUUUCUACUACACUUCUACUUUUAUCAAGCAUUUUAAACAUUAUGUACUUAUCACUUAAAUGACCUUUAAAAACAAAAACAGACCCAACAAGGAAUUGGCAAGCACUUUUCCAGGGGACUUUCAGUAUUCAAGCUGAAAUAAAAAUGUGGGGGAAUG